CGGAAAGGGGCACUUAGUUAGUUGGUAGGGUAAAAGCCUACCAAGACGAUGAUGUUUAGCGGGGCCAAGAGGUUGUACCGCCACACUGGGAUUGAGAUACGGCCCAGACUCCUACGGGAGGCAGCAGUAAGGAAUAUUCCACAAUAAGCGAAAGCUUGAUGGAGCGACACAGCGUGCAGGAUGAAGUCUUUCGGGAUGUAAACUGCUGUUGUAAGGGAAGAAAAAACUAGAUAGGAAAUGCUCUAGUCUUGACGGUACCUUAUUAGAAAGCGACGGCAAACUAUGUGCCAGCAGCCGCGGUAAUACAUAGGUCGCAAGCGUUAUCCGGAAUUAUUGGGCGUAAAGCGUCCGUAGGUUUUUUGUUAAGUUUAAAGUUAAAUGCUAAAGCUCAACUUUAGUCCGCUUUAGAUACUGGCAAAAUAGAAUUAUGAAGAGGUUAGCGGAAUUCCUAGUGGAGUGGUGGAAUACGUAGAUAUUAGGAAGAACACCAAUAGGCGAAGGCAGCUAACUGGUCAUAUAUUGACACUAAGGGACGAAAGCGUGGGGAGCAAACAGGAUUAGAUACCCUGGUAGUCCACGCCGUAAACGAUGAUCAUUAGUUGGUGGCAAAACCAAAAAAAACCAAAAAAAA
rnacentral:rRNA from 2 species